GACGAACGCUGGCGGCGUGCUUAACACAUGCAAGUCGAACGGUGAAGGGGCUGGCUUUUGUUGGUCCUGGAUGAGUGGCGAACGGGUGAGUAACACGUGAGUAACCUGCCCCCUUCUUCUGGAUAACCGCAUGAAAGUGUGGCUAAUACGGGAUAUUCUGGGUCUGUCGCAUGAUGGGUCUGGGAAAGAUGCGCCUUUGGGUGUUUUUGGUGGGGGAUGGGCUCGCGGCCUAUCAGCUUGUUGGUGGGGUGAUGGCCUACCAAGGCGGUGACGGGUAGCCGGCCUGAGAGGGUGGACGGUCACACUGGGACUGAGACACGGCCCAGACUCCUACGGGAGGCAGCAGUGGGGAAUAUUGCACAAUGGGCGCAAGCCUGAUGCAGCGACGCCGCGUGAGGGAUGGAGGCCUUCGGGUUGUAAACCUCUUUCGCCAGUGAAGCAGGCCUGCUCCUUGGUGGGUGGGUUGACGUAGCUGAUAAAAGC
rnacentral:rRNA from 1 species